UCUUCUUCUUCUUCUUCUUCUUCUUAACUGUUUUUUUUUUUUUGGUUGCAGUUCUAAACUUCUAAAUCUAAUCUUUUAGAGUCUAAUCUAUUAUUAUUAUUUUGUUUUGUUCCAGUUCUAAACACAGAGAAAUGUUCUUCUGUGCUAUAUGUUUGAUGUGCGUGUAUUUUUUACACAGGUUGAGCCUGCAAAAAAGACACAAAAUGGCAAGCAACAGUCAAUAGGGAAGAUUAUCCACAAAGGUUGCAGACAAAAUUCGUCGUGAUGAACGUGCGAGUGUUGUAGAACGGACAAAUUUGAGAUAUCUUCCUGGACUUCCACGGAAAGUUGACUUGGUGACAUUGGACCUUUCAUUCAUUUCUAUACUUUUGGUCAUGCCUGUUGUGGUCAAUGUAAUGAAGGAAGAAGCUACAUUGGUUGCUCUGAUUAAACCCCAAUUUGAGGCUCCCAGAUCUCAAGAAAGAAUUCAUGCAUUUUUUCAAUUUUAUUUUUUUUAGUGAAAUUGCCCUAGGUCUAGGCUGGUUUUCUGUUCUCUGCAAUUACUUAUAUCAAGCUGAAUCAGGUUAUAUUUAAAUAGGAUUACUCUUGAGCAGGGGUUGAGGUUUACCAUUUGAAAUGGCUUUGUCAAGAACUAAUAAAAGGGAUCUUUCUUUUGUUCAAAGCCUCUGAUAAAGAUAG